CCCGCCCGUGGCCCUCGGCCAGCAGCCCCUCUGCCCGAGACCUGAGCUCUUAAUGAGGGAUGGCGGUGAUUUCCUUAACUUUGGGAGCCAACAGAGCAGAACUUUCCCAAGGCAGGAUGCUCCGGACGGUGCACUCAGACGGCGGCAAGAGAGCCCGCACCCCGCCGGGGACAGAGUUUGCCUCCUGAACCACACUUCUCUUACUGAAGAACAGCAGCUCCGACCUCCACACCAACCGGGACUGCCGCUUUGAAGUAGCUGCGAACAGCGCUCCCGUGUCUCAACAUGGUCACGUAGGAGAUUUGAGCCUUUUAAUUUCCAGACACAAGGAAUAACUCCCUCGGAGCGCCGGGCUGGCUUAGGUGGUCGAUUGCUGGGUGUUUUGAGUGAAGACUGGUACAAAGAAAAUUCACUGUAUAAACAUCCUGCCCAAGAAAGAAAGGUUCGCCCAUACUCCAUCUACAGGAUUUAGUCCUUUGUAGCCACAUACAGUAUGCGACAGAACAAUUUGGAAAAGAUUCAUCUAUCAAGUUUAACAACUUUCUGGUGUAACUUCAGAGAGGUUUAUUGCUUAUUCAUGUGGAAGAGCUUUCUGAAACUAAAAUUUCUUUUUGAGGACAGCUGGUCCAUGCCCCUGAGGAAAAAAGAAGCUUAUGUCAAGGCUGAGGACUGACCCUGAACCUUCCAAGCCCUGGAAGAUUUUCUGUCCUCAGGAAAUGUGAGGAAGUGUGGACACAAAGGGAGAGACUUGAACUAUUUCUCCAGGAAGAAAAGAUUGCACCUGUUCUUAGCACAUGAUGAGAGGAUUGUGAAGACAGUGAUGGAACAUACAUCAAAAACCUGUUGCUUCAUGCUCUGUAACACAUUUGCAGUACCAGGAAUGAAACAGAGAGAAGGAAUUUGACUGCUGGAAUUAUGAAACCUGCUGAUGAUAUGGACUUCUGUUGUCAUUUGGAUGUGGUUACAUAUUCACUGUCUUAAUUAAUAGUUAUGGAUGUUGCAUGACAUGGUGUUAACACCCUAUCUGAAAAUAAAAUGAGUACUGACAUGUC